ACACUGCAUUACACUUGUUUAGCUCGCGCAUGCGCAGUAUAAAAGAUGGGACAUGUUUCCGCUUGAGUAAGACUUCUGGUCCUAUUAUCUAUUCUGUGUCACAGAUGUUGCUUCGCAACAUCCGUGAGUCAAAAACGUGUCAAUAUUUUAAUAUUUGCAUGCUCAUUGUAUUUUUUGAACAGUGAUCGUUCUCGUUUGGUAGAGUAUCCUGUGAAAUGCUUCCUUCACAUUUUAGCGUCUUAGAUUUUGGUAUAUUUGCCUGUGUUGUUAUAUGUGCUCUGCUGUUGGCACUGUUCUUCCUUGUUGAUUUUGUGAGUACUGUAAUCUACUCUUCAUUUUCUUUGCUUUGUUGUACAAGUCACAAGUGCAUAAUCUUCAUUGGACUUGGAUUUAAAAUAGGACAUGAAUGUUUCAUUUUCUUUUAAAUUCUCAGAAUGCGAAGACACGAAUUUCAAACUUGCCUGGUAUUGAUUCCACAGACCCUGAGUAAGUACAACAGACCAGGUUGGAAACUAUUGCAUUUAAAAUCCGAACCCCCCUGUUGAGGACCUCUCUUUUG